AACGCGAAGAACCUUACCUGGUCUUGACAUCCACGGAAGUUUUCAGAGACGAGAAUGUGCCUUCGGGAACCGUGAGACAGGUGCUGCAUGGCUGUCGUCAGCUCGUGUUGUGAAAUGUUGGGUUAAGUCCCGCAACGAGCGCAACCCUUAUCCUUUGUUGCCAGCGGUCCGGCCGGGAACUCAAAGGAGACUGCCAGUGAUAAACUGGAGGAAGGUGGGGGUGACGUCAAGUCAUCAUGGCCCUUACGACCAGGGCUACACACGUGCUACAAUGGCGCAUACAAAGAGAAGCGACCUCGCGAGAGCAAGCGGACCUCAUAAAGUGCGUCGUAGUCCGGAUUGGAGUCUGCAACUCGACUCCAUGAAGUCGGAAUCGCUAGUAAUCGUGGAUCAGAAUGCCACGGUGAAUACGUUCCCGGGUCUUGUACACACCG
rnacentral:rRNA from 1 species